UACGUAGGUGGCAAGCGUUGUCCGGAAUUAUUGGGCGUAAAAGCGCGCGCAGGCGGUCCUUUUAAGUCUGAUGUGAAAGCCCACGGCUCAACCGUGGAGGGUCAUUGGAAACUGGGGGACUUGAGUGCAGGAGAGAAGAGUGGAAUUCCACGUGUAGCGGUGAAAUGCGUAGAGAUGUGGAGGAACACCAGUGGCGAAGGCGACUCUUUGGCCUGUAACUGACGCUGAGGCGCGAAAGCGUGGG
rnacentral:rRNA from 1 species